rnacentral:tRNA from 1 species
GCAAAAUAAACUAAUGGUAAGUUCUCAGGCUCAUAACCUGAUUAUAGGUGUUCGAUUCAUCUUUUUGCA